rnacentral:rRNA from 1 species
GAUGAACGCUGGCGGCGUGCCUAAUACAUGCAAGUCGAGCGAACAGACGCGGAGCUUGCUCCUCUGACGUUAGCGGCGGACGGGUGAGUAACACGUGGAUAACCUACCUAUAAUACUGGGAUAACUUCGGGAAACCGGAGCUAAUACCGGAUAACAUGUUGAACCGCAUUGUUCAACAGUGAAAUACGGUCUUGCUGUCACUUAUAGAUGGAUCUGCGCCGGAUUAUCUAGUUGGUAAGGUAACGGCUUACCAAGGGAACUAUGCGUAGCCGACCUGAGAGACUGGUAGGCAACACUGGAACUGAGCCACCGACAAGACUACUGCGAGAGGCAGCAGUAGGGAAUCUUACGCAAUGGGCGAAAGCAUGACGGAGUAAGGCCGCGUGAGUGAAGAAGGUCUUCGGAUCGUAAAACUGUGUUAUUAGGGAAGAACCAAUGUGUAAGUAAAUAUGCACGUCUUGACGGUAACUAAUAAGAAAGCAACGGCUAACUACGUG